rnacentral:misc_RNA from 1 species
GAUGAAGAACGCAGCGAAAUGCGAUAAGUAAUGUGAAUUGCAGAAUUCAGUGAAUCAUCGAAUCUUUGAACGCACAUUGCGCCCGCCAGCACUCUGGCGGGCAUGCCUGUUCGAGCGUCAUUUCAACCCUCAGGCCCCGCCUGGCGUUGGGGCGCUGCCGCCGCAGGGCUGGCAGGCCCCCAAAGACAGCGGCGUGUGCGCCGCGGAACCGAACGCAGUAAUCUAUGCCUCGUUUUGGAACCGCGGUGCGCCCUGCCGUAAAACACCCCCAAUUUCAAUGGUUGACCUCGGAUCAGGUAGGAAUACCCGCUGAACUUAAGCAUAUCAAUAAGCGGAGGA